UUUUCUUUAUUGCUUUUAUUCAAGCUUGCAAUUAAACAGCUGAAAUCACUCCAUAUCCAGUGUCUAAUCAACUGUCUACCUAAUUAGGUGAUUAAGUGCAUAUGCUUUAGGCCUAGUCACUCAAGCGUGUCAAGGAUGAAUGAUCAAGUGAUUAAAAAGAAACCAAAAACAUUUCGUCAAUGCCCAUCAUUUUAUAUACCUUUUUUUUUUGAUAAGUUUCUUUUGAUGCUCGGUAUAGGUAGAUAGAUAGAUAGAUAGAUGAUAGAAUUUAAAUAUUAACACUUCUUGUUUAAUGUAAUAAUGAAACCAAACAAGUAAAACUUCUAUAUAAGUUAUCAUCAUAACCGUAAGCCCCCCCCCCCCCCCCCCAUAAAUGCCAUUUAAAAAGGUGCUAUUGUUUGUCCCAGGCAUGCUAGACAUUUAUUUUGUGUUUUGGAAAAUCAUUGCCCUUUCCUAGAUUAUUUAUUUAUAUAUGUAAGAUUAUCAUUUUUUUUUAUUUUUUAUAAUUGUUAAUGUUUUUCUAAGCUGUCAAAUCGAUCGGCUCAUUAUUAUGCAUAUUACUUCAAAACGUGCAGAAACACAUUUUGAGUUCAAAAUUCCUCUUAAGAAAAGUUUAGGGCUGUAACGAAGGGUAUAUUUUGACCUUCGAAGGUUCGAAACACAUUACAAACGAAAGUUCGAAUCUUCAGUAGUACUAAUUAGCAUAAUUUACUGGUGACUGUCACCAUAGCUACUAGUUUAUAUUUGAUUGGAAAUCCAGUUAUUAUCUUACAGGUAAUCCAUACAGAUGGUAUAACAUUCAUAUGUAGUUUAAAAAUGUUAUAUAGAACAGUAAUCAUGUUUUCAUAAUUUAAAUAAAAAUAUGCAUUUGUGUACACAAAAUUGAUGCUGCAAAAUUGAUGCUGCUUGCGAUAUACAGGUAUUGGGCGAUAAUGCAAUUUCCUGUUAUCGAUUAUCGGCUGAAUAAAAUAAAAUGUAUAACA